rnacentral:rRNA from 1 species
CCCAGCUCCUACGGGAGGCAGCAGUGGGGAAUAUUGCACAAUGGGCGCAAGCCUGAUGCAGCCAUGCCGCGUGUGUGAAGAAGGCCUUCGGGUUGUAAAGCACUUUCAGCGGGGAGGAAGGCAAUAAGGUUAAUAACCUUGUUGAUUGACGUUACCCGCAGAAGAAGCACCGGCUAACUCCGUGCCAGCAGCCGCGGUAAUACGGAGGGUGCAAGCGUUAAUCGGAAUUACUGGGCGUAAAGCGCACGCAGGCGGUCUGUCAAGUCGGAUGUGAAAUCCCCGGGCUCAACCUGGGAACUGCAUUCGAAACUGGCAGGCUAGAGUCUUGUAGAGGGGGGUAGAAUUCCAGGUGUAGCGGUGAAAUGCGUAGAGAUCUGGAGGAAUACCGGUGGCGAAGGCGGCCCCCUGGACAAAGACUGACGCUCAGGUGCGAAAGCGUGGGGAGCAAACAGGAUUAGAUACCCCUGUAU